AGAAAGAGGGAAAUUGGGGUUAGAGAGGGAGGGAUUGGGAAAAAUGGGGGAAAUGGUGAUAAAAGAGAAGAGAGAGCGGGGAUGGGUAAAAAUCGGGACGAGGUGAAAUUAAAUAAAGGGAGAAAGGGAUUUGUGUUCGAUGUGGUGAGGGAGAGGGGAAAUGGGGAUGAAAUGGGAGGGGAAAGGGGAAAAUUUGGGUUAGAAAGAGAGGGAUUGGGAAAAAAUGGGGAUAAAGGGGGUUAAAGGUGAAGGGAGCUAGAGGAGGGAAGGGUAAAAAUCGGGAUGAGGUGAAAUGAAAUAAAGGGAAAAGGGGAUUUGUGUGCGGUGAGGGAGAGGGGAAAUGGGAAUAAAGUGGGAGGGGAAAAUUUGGGUUAGAAAGGGAGGGAUUGGGAAAAAUGGGGAAAAAAAGUGAAGGGAGUUGGAGUGGGCAUGGGUAAAAAUCGGGAUGAGGUGAAAUUAAAUAAAGAGAAACGGGAAUUUGUGUUUGAUGUGGGUGAAGGUUUUGCGGAAGGAGAAGGGAAAUGGGGAUGAAAUGGGGGAAAGGGUAAGAGGGGGAAAUUGGGUUGGAAAGGGCGGAAUUGGGUAAAAAAACGGGGAAAACUGAAAUAAAGGGGGUUAAA